rnacentral:rRNA from 1 species
UACGGAGGAUGCAAGCGUUAUCCGGAAUGAUUGGGCGUAAAGCGUCCGCAGGUGGCUAUGUAAGUCUGCUGUUAAAGAGUGAGGCUCAACCUCAUAAGAGCAGUGGAAACUACAUAGCUAGAGUGCGUUCGGGGCAGAGGGAAUUCCUGGUGUAGCGGUGAGAUGCGUAGAUAUCAGGAAGAACACCGGUGGCGAAAGCGCUCUGCUAGGCCGCAACUGACACUGAGGGACGAAAGCUAGGGGAGCGAAUGGG